UUGGAGUGAUCAGAAAAGACUCUGUCGGCAUUAGUAGCGAUAACGUAUGUGAGAACCAUACGCACCGAAAACCUAAGGUUUCCUGCGUCAAGUUAAUCUGCGCAGGGUUAGCCGGUUCCUAAGGCGAGGGCGAGAGCCGUAGUCGAUGGAAAUCCUGUUAAUAUUCAGGAGCUGUAACUGGUGUUGUGGGGUGACGCAAUAGGGUAGAUGAGACGGCUGAUGGAUGCCGUUGAAGUAAAUAGCCCGUCAUUUAGGAAAAUCCGGAUGACAUAAGGGUAAAUAAGCGGACGAAAGUACGGAGCUUGCUCCGGAACAAGUCAUUGACCCCAGUUGCCAAGAAAAACCUCGUUCAACAUAACCAAUAUCAACCGUACCGCAAACCGACACAGGUAGGUGGGAUGAGAAUUCUAAGGUGCUUGUGAGAACCCUCGUUCAGGAACUCGGCAAAAUGUACCCGUAACUUCGGGAGAAGGGUAGCCUAGUGAUGAACUAGGCCGCAGUGAAAUGUCUCAGGCGACUGUUUAACAAAAACACAGGUCUCCGCUAAGUUGUAAAGACGACGUAUGGGGGCUGACUCCUGCCCAAUGCUGGAAGGUUAAGAGGAGUGGUUAGGAGCAAUCCGAAGCUGCGAAUCGAAGCCCCAGUGAAUGGCGGCCGUAACUAUAACGGUCCUAAGGUAGCGAAAUUCCUUGUCGGGUAAGUUCCGACCUGCACGAAUGGAGUAACGAUCUGAGAGCUGUCUUAACGAGGGGCACAGCGAACUUGUAGUACCGGUGAAGAUGCCGGUUUCCCGCAUCUAGACGGAAAGACCCCGUGCACCUUGACUACAACUUGAUAGUGAAUUCGGGUAAAUAAUGCGCAGAAUAGGUGGGAGGCUUUGAUAUCAGGCUUUUGGGCUUGGUGGAGCCACCUUUGAGAUACCACCCUUUAUUUAUUUGACUUCUAACCUACUACCGUAAUCCGGUAGAGGGACAUUAUCAGGCGGGUAGUUUGACUGGGGCGGUCGCCUCCUAAAGAGUAACGGAGGCGUUCGAAGGUUGGCUCAGGCUGUUUGGAAAUCAGCCGUAGAGUGUAAACGCAUAAGCCAGCUUGACUGUGAGACAUACACGUCGAACAGGUACGAAAGUAGGAGUUAGUGAUCCGGCGAUCCCGCAUGGAAGGGUCGUCGCUCAACGGAUAAAAGGUACGCCGGGGAUAACAGGCUGAUCCUGCCCAAGAGUUCACAUCGACGGCAGGGUUUGGCACCUCGAUGUCGGCUCAUCACAUCCUGGGGCUGAAGAAGGUCCCAAGGGUUUGGCUGUUCGCCAAUUAAAGUGGUACGUGAGCUGGGUUCAGAACGUCGCGAGACAGUUCGGUCCCUAUCUGGUGUGGGCGUAGCAGAAUUGAAGGAAUCUGACCUUAGUACGAGAGGACCGGGUUGGAUUGACCUCUAGUGUAUGAGUUAUCGUGCCAACGGUAGCGCUCAGUAGCUAAGUCGAGCAUGGAUAAACGCUGAAUGCAUCUAAGCGUGAAGCCAGACCUAAGAUUAGUUCUGCCAGUAGACUCGUGGAAGACCACCACGUUGAUAGGUUGGAAAUGUAAGAGCAGUAAUGUUUUUAGUUGACCAAUACUAAUUGUCCCAAGGCUUGAUCA
rnacentral:rRNA from 1 species